CCUACGGGAGGCAGCAGUGAGGAAUAUUGGUCAAUGGCCGCAGGGCUGAACCAGCCAAGUCGCGUGAGGGAUGACGGUCCUAUGGAUUGUAAACCUCUUUUGUCAGGGAGCAAAGGGCGCCACGUGUGGCGCUUUGCGUGUACCUGAAGAAAAAGCAUCGGCUAACUCCGUGCCAGCAGCCGCGGUAAUACGGAGGAUGCGAGCGUUAUCCGGAUUUAUUGGGUUUAAAGGGUGCGCAGGCGGAAUGUCAAGUCAGCGGUAAAAUUUCGGGGCUCAACCCCGUCGUGCCGUUGAGACUGGCGUUCUUGAGUGAGCGAGAAGUAUGCGGAAUGCGUGGUGUAGCGGUGAAAUGCAUAGAUAUCACGCAGAACUCCGAUUGCGAAGGCAGCAUACCGGCGCUCAACUGACGCUCAUGCACGAAAGCGUGGGUAUCGAACAGGAUUAGAUACCCCAGUAGUC
rnacentral:rRNA from 1 species